UGGGGUGUCGCCAAGCGGUAAGGCAAAGGACUUUGACUCCUUCACUCGUGCGUUCGAAUCGCGCCACCCCAGCCA
rnacentral:tRNA from 1 species